GGGGCCAUAGCUCAGCUGGGAGAGCACCUGCUUUGCACGCAGGGGGUCAGCGGUUCGAUCCCGCUUGGCUCCACCA
rnacentral:tRNA from 68 species